rnacentral:rRNA from 1 species
UCUACACCCACUACCGUAUCUAUAUACUAGACCGCAUACUCUCACCCUUGAGCGAAUCACCGACCACCUCAUGCUCUGGACGCAGCGGAUGAAGAAACUGGCACACAAACAGGCCGCCUCCUCAUGGCGUUCCUACCUCUUAUCACGAUUACAGGUACUUAUGUAAUUCACCUUUGUAAUCAUAAUCAGGGAAACGCUGGAUUACAAAAUUGAGAAAUAUAUUCAGGUGGGGAGCUCCCCCCGGUGAUUUUUCAAAAAAAAAAUAGACCGCAUACUCUACUAUCUCCUUCUACUGCUCCGUGUGAUACCAUCGCUCAGGCAAACGCUUAUAAAUCCCUGCAAAUCGCACAAAACUCUCGAUGUGCAGUGGGACUAAAAAUCAGCGUCAGUACAGUACAGGUGCUCUUACAUCGCAGCAGCCGGGCGGCGUCUGCUCCCGCUCGGCUCCACCGCGAGUCCCGCGUCCUCCCUCCGUCUCCGCACGCGUCGCCGGCGUGGGGGGUGACAGAGACGAGCCGAGGCGCCGCCACCACGCUCCUCCUUCUCCCACGGUGGCCGCCGGUCGCCUCCUCCGGUGCUCACUGACCUCGAGCUAGUAAGCGCGGGGGUGACGUGACGAGACUGCGCUACACUGCGGUGGAGAAGGCCGCGUCGUCCUCGCGGAAGGAAGGGAUGCGGCGGCGGAGGCAGCUGCGCGGGGGAUUGGAUGAUUUACCCCAUUUUAUAAGGGGUUGAAUGAUUUGUCC